rnacentral:rRNA from 1 species
GUGGGGAAUCUUGCGCAAUGGGCGAAAGCCUGACGCAGCCAUGCCGCGUGAAUGAUGAAGGUCUUAGGAUUGUAAAAUUCUUUCACCGGGGACGAUAAUGACGGUACCCGGAGAAGAAGCCCCGGCUAACUUCGUGCCAGCAGCCGCGGUAAUACGAAGGGGGCUAGCGUUGCUCGGAAUUACUGGGCGUAAAGGGCGCGUAGGCGGACAGUUUAGUCAGAGGUGAAAGCCCAGGGCUCAACAUUGGAAUUGCCUUUGAUACUGGCUGUCUUGAGUACGGGAGAGGUGAGUGGAACUCCGAGUGUAGAGGGGAAAUUCGUAGAUAUUCGGAAGAACACCAGUGGCGAAGGCGACUCACUGGCCCGUUACUGACGCUGAGGCGCGAAAGCGUGGGGAGCAAACAGGAUUAGAAACCCCAGUAGUCC